rnacentral:rRNA from 1 species
ACCCUUGAAAGAGUGCGUAAUAGCUCACUGGUCAAGUGAUUCCGCGCCGACAAUGUAACGGGGCUCAAGCACACCACCGAAGUCGUAGCAUUCAAACUAUAGGUAGGCCUUCGUGGUCCAGCCGUGUGAAUGGGUAGGAGAGCGUCGUGUGGCGAGCGAAGCGGCGGAGUGAUCCAGCCGUGGACGCCACACGAGUGAGAAUGCAGGCAUGAGUAGCGAAAGACGGGUGAGAAACCCGUCCUCCGGAAGACCAAGGGUUCCAGGGCCAGGCUAAUCCGCCCUGGGUAAGUCGGGACCUAAGACGAGGCCGACAGGCGUAGUCGAUGGACAACGGGUUGAUAUUCCCGUACCCGCGAAGAACCGCAAGAGCUAAACCAGUAAUGCUAAGAGUCCGAAUUCUCUUUCUGAUCCCUUCGGGGUGAGGAUUGAGAGCUAGCACUCGACCCUAUGCUGGCGCGGCUAGCGUAUUAACAGGUGUGACGCAGGAAGGUAGCUGAGCCGGGCGAUGGUUGUCCCGGUGUAAGGAUGUAGGGCGAGGAAUAGGCAAAUCCGUUCCUCACGAAGCCUGAGAUCCGACGCGUACCCCUCACGGGGGAAAUCAGUGAUCCUAUGCUGCCAAGAAAAGCAUCGACGCGAGGUUCUAGUGGCCCGUACCCCAAACCGACUCAGGUGGUCAGGUAGAGAAUACUAAGGAGAUCGAGAGAAUCGUGGUUAAGGAACUCGGCAAAAUGCCCCCGUAACUUCGGGAGAAGGGGGGCCGGAUUGGUGAAGGGAUUUACUCCUGGAGCUAUGAAGGCCGCAGAGACCAGUGGGAAGCGACUGUUUACUAAAAACACAGGUCCGUGCUAAGUCGCAAGACGAUGUAUACGGACUGACGCCUGCCCGGUGCUGGAAGGUUAAGAGGACCGGUUAGCCGCAAGGCGAAGCUGAGAAUUUAAGCCCCAGUAAACGGCGGUGGUAACUAUAACCAUCCUAAGGUAGCGAAAUUCCUUGUCGGGUAAGUUCCGACCUGCACGAAUGGCGUAACGACUUCCCAACUGUCUCAACCGCGAACUCGGCGAAAUUGCAUUACGAGUAAAGAUGCUCGUUACGCGCAGCAGGACGGAAAGACCCCGUGACCUUUACUACAGCUUUGUAUUGGUGUUCGGUGUGGCUUGUGUAGGAUAGGUGGGAGACUUUGAAGCGGACACGCCAGUGUUUGUGGAGUCAUUGUUGAAAUACCACUCUGGUCACUCUGGAUAUCUAACUUCGAACCGUAAUCCGGUUCAGGGACAGUGCAUGGUGGGUAGUUUAACUGGGGCGGUUGCCUCCCAAAAAGUAACGGAGGCGCCCAAAGGUUCCCUCAGCCUGGUUGGCAAUCAGGUGGCGAGUGUAAGUGCACAAGGGAGCUUGACUGUGAGACUGACAGGUCGAGCAGGGACGAAAGUCGGGACUAGUGAUCCGGCAGUGGCUUGUGGAAGCGCUGUCGCUCAACGGAUAAAAGGUACCUCGGGGAUAACAGGCUGAUCUUGCCCAAGAGUCCAUAUCGACGGCAUGGUUUGGCACCUCGAUGUCGGCUCGUCGCAUCCUGGGGCUGGAGUAGGUCCCAAGGGUUGGGCUGUUCGCCCAUUAAAGCGGCACGCGAGCUGGGUUUAGAACGUCGUGAGACAGUUCGGUCCCUAUCCGCCGCGCGCGUAGGAAACUUGAGAAAGGCUGUCCCUAGUACGAGAGGACCGGGAUGGACGAACCUCUGGUGUGCCAGUUGUUCCGCCAGGAGCACGGCUGGUUAGCUACGUUCGGAAGUGAUAACCGCUGAAUGCAUCUAAGCGGGAAGCACGUUUCAAGAUGAGGUUUCCCACCCCUUUGU